rnacentral:rRNA from 1 species
UUGCCAGCCCGCUCAGAAACUUAAAGGAAUUGACGGGGCCCGCACAAGCGGUGGAGCAUGUGGUUUAAUUCGAUGAUACGCGAGGAACCUUACCUGGGCUCAAAUGUAUGUUGACGUAUUCUGAAAGGGAUACUUCUUCGGACAAUAUACAAGGUGCUGCAUGGUUGUCGUCAGCUCGUGCCGUGAGGUGUCGGGUUAAGUCCCAUAACGAGCGCAACCCCUAUCAUUAGUUGCCAUCAGGUUAAGCUGGGGACUCUAAAGGAACUGCCUACGCAAGUAGUGAGGAAGGCGGGGAUGACGUCAAAUCAGCACGGCCCUUACGUCCAGGGCUACACACGUGCUACAAUGGCCGAUACAGAGGGCAGCUACCUGGUGACAGGAUGCAAAUCUCCAAAGUCGGUCUCAGUUCGGAUCGGAGUCUGCAACCCGACUCCGUGAAGUUGGAUUCGCUAGUAAUCGCGCAUCAGCCAUGGCGCGGUGAAUACGUUCCCGGGCCUU